UGCUGAAUAAAUGACAAUAUUUUGGUGAAUGUCUUGUUUAGAUAUCUGAAAAAUUUCAUCGGAUCACAAGCAAAGACCUCCUUGGGACCUUCAAUGCAUCCCUUGACAAAUUUGUGCCUGGCCUGCUGAAACUGUACCGGUCUAACGGUGGAGCUCUUUGUGAGGAGAUGGAAGACCUCCUGGAUAAACUUGACGAACAGGACACUGACAUUUUGGAACCAGUGUUGAACGGUGUAUCAGUUGCCAUCCUCACCAUCCUACAAGAUGACGAUGCCGAUACGUCUGUGCGAGAACAUGCAGUUGUGUUGGAAGGGGACAUCGUGCUACAUAACAUUCCAGAUCUCUCUACUGCCUUGGCAUACCUCUUUGGCCUUCUGUAUGCCCUCAACAUUGAUUAUCCAAAGCAGAUGAGUUACACCUUUAAAGCAAUUGAGGCCAUCUUAUUUUGACCUGGUCGGACUUUAUGAAGGUGAAGUGGAUAAAUCAUUAUUUGAAAUGUAAAUUUUAGUCAGAUGAAUCUGUAUUGUUGAGAAUAUAUGGUGAAAAUUUGUCUUGUAGUAUUUUAAAAGAUUUGUUAUAGUGUUUUCCAUAUGAAGCAUAGAACUGGUGUUUUACCUGUUAGUUUCCUCUUCAUUGAUGGUAACAUUUCUAAUCACUUUUAACUUCCAUAGUUCAUCAUAGUAAGCCCAUGUAAAAUGUCAGUGUCUGGGUACAUAGGCACUCGUUUGUGGCACUACCCUAUUUAAGGUGCAAUAGUUAUGUUCAGCU
ensembl:lncRNA